UGGGCCGAAGUCGAAGCAGUCGAGACGCCUGGCCGUGACCCAGGAGACAGCGGGUGCGAGUCCCGUCGGUCCAC
rnacentral:tRNA from 1 species